AUGAACGCUGGCGGCGUGCCUAAUUCAUGCAAGUCGCGCGAACGGACGAGAAGCUUUCUUCUCUGAUGUUAUCGGCGGACGGGUGAGUAACACGUGGAUAACCUACCUAUAAGACUGGGCUAACUUCUGGAAACCGGAGCUAAUACCGGAUAAUAUUUUGAACCGCAUGGUUCAAAAGUUAAAGACGGUCUUGCUGUCACUUAUAGAUGGAUCCUCGCUGCAUUAGCUAGUUGGUAAGGUAACGGCUUACCAAGGCAACGAUGCAUAGCCGACCUGAGAGGGUGAUCGGCCACACUGGAACUGAGACACGGUCCAGACUCCUACGGGAGGCAGCAGUAGGGAAUCUUCCGCAAUGGGCGAAAGCCUGACGGAGCAACGACGCGUGAGUGAUGAAGGACUUCGGAUCGUAAAACUCUGUUAUUAGGGAAGAACAUAUGUGUAAGAAACAGAGAACAUCUUGACGGUACCUAAUCAGAAAGCCACGGCUAACUACGUG
rnacentral:rRNA from 1 species